UACGGAGGGCGCGAGCGUUAAUCGGAAUUACUGGGCGUAAAGCGCGCGUAGGCUGUUGUGUAAGUUGGGGGUGAAAUCCCACGGCUCAACCGUGGAACAGCCCUUGAUACUGCGCGACUUGAAUCCGGGAGAGGGUGGCGGAAUUCUAGGUGUAGGAGUGAAAUCCGUAGAUAUCUGGAGGAGCAUCAGUGGCGAAGGCGGCCACCUGGACCGGUAUUGACGCUGAGGCGCGAAAGCGUGGGGAGCAAACAGG
rnacentral:rRNA from 1 species